GCAUGGUUACGGAGGGAAAAGGGGGGAAGGGGGAGGGGAAAGGAGGGGGAGCCUAGGGGAGGAAGGCUGAGAGGGGAGAAAAGGCUAAGAGAGCGACUGAUUUCGCUAGCACAGUUUAAGAGGGGAAUUGAAGCGGGCGCAGAAUCAAACUUGUGCCAAUGGGAUUACAGAUACACGAUGGUUCAGGGCAGGACCACAGGCUUGGGAUAUACCAUACAUUUCAGAGGGAGGUUUAAACCCUUCAGCCAGGUCAUAUCUUGGAUCACAAAUGCAAGUUCCUUCAGGAGAGCUGGGACUCACUGUCCAAAGUCAGGCUGCAGCAGAACCAGGAGCUGGAGAGCAUCCUGCUCUCUACCCAGCCUCCUGCAGGGCCAUCAGAUUAUCAGGAGGAGAACUAACCUCAUCAGCUGCAGACACUCAUCAGAAACAUUUGACCAUCCUGCAGAUACAGAACAGCCAUCUGUGUCAAUGGAAUUGUUUCAGCAGUGCUUUGGGAUAAAGCACGUUUCUGUACCAAUCCAGGAGUUGUAUUUACCCUCUCAACCUGUACUUUGACCUGCACUCAAAGUGUUCAAUGGAAAAGCCAUCUUUAAACUUCCCUCAAACUAUUGCUUUAAUAACACUCUAACUCAGUACCCAUCAGUUAACUUCAGAAAUUGAAGAAAAUUAAAAAUAAAUUUGAAAAUAUAUAUAGUUUUAUAGAUAAAUGCACAU